rnacentral:rRNA from 1 species
UACUCCUACGGGAGGCAGCAGUGGGGAAUAUUGCACAAUGGGCGAAAGCCUGAUGCAGCAACGCCGCGUGAGCGAUGAAGGCCUUCGGGUCGUAAAGCUCUGUCCUCAAGGAAGAUAAUGACGGUACUUGAGGAGGAAGCCCCGGCUAACUACGUGCCAGCAGCCGCGGUAAU